GAGGGUAUAGCUCAAGUGGUAGAGCACAUGCUUAGCAUGCAUGAAGUCCUGGGUUCAAUCCCCAGUAUUUCCA
rnacentral:tRNA from 1 species